rnacentral:lncRNA from 1 species
GUAAACAUCACGUCUGCCCCCAACGAGUCUCCCUCCUUCCCUCCCCUUGCAAAUUCCUCUUGCAAACGUAACCUGUGCCGGAGCGAGUGGAAAAAGGAGUUUAUUGCCUCCCCGAGUAACUGGGUUGCGAUCACGGGCAAAAUUUGCUGCUCUAGGGAUGGGGAAGUGGAUGAUUCCUAUUCCUCUCUGGGUAAAAUAAGUAAAGACAGACAGAUAGAUAGACAUAUAGACAGACAGACAGAUAGAUUGAUGAAAAGCCUGAUUUUUUUCAAGGCGCUGAACUAUGAUGUUGGAUAGUGAGACCAUCUGAGAUGUCUUACCCCCAGCUCUGUGCUGUUCAGCCACUCAUGGGAAGGAGAUAAGGGGUCUGAAAUAUCUAAAUGGACACUAAAAGGCAUGGGCAGGAUUAAGGGCUGAAGGUUUCCAGUGUGCUCGUGGAGGGGAGGGAAGCAAAGAGUUUCCAGAGAUGAAAAGACAGAGCAAUACCCCGAGCUGAGAAGUAUGUCUGGAUGCUCCUGGGUGUGCUGCCUUCCCCUCCAAUGGAUGCAACAAACUCAAAUCCAAGUGGGCAUUAAAGGAAAACAGCCCAUGGCAAUGAAAUCCUGCCUCCCUCAUUGUCCACCAGAGUUUUGUCUUGGACUUCAAGGGAGAUGGGAACUCGCCCUCAGAGGUUAUUAAAAUCCUUUGUAAUAACAGCGCUUCUCCAGUAACCCUUUACAGCAGGCAUACGCUGGGGUUGCUAUAGCAGACAGAAUGGGAAAACGCAUUUCAGAUGGCAGAGCAAACACCCAGGAAUAUUCCUUCUCCCCUCCACUAUUGCUUCCUUAAUUGGGGCACCAAGGCAAAAAGCUCUGGUAGGGACAAAUCCAGAGCUGGGGCUCAGGUGAGACAUAUUUGCCCCAAGUUAAUGAAUGGCAUUGGGGACCCCCUUUGGGGGGUUCAGAUCAGAUAUAAAGAAACAUUUCUACUUAGAAAGAGUGGCAAUGCAUUGGCACAGGCUGCACAGGGAGGUGUUGGAGUCAUCAUCCCUGGAGGUGUUCAAGAACCAUGGAGAUGUGGCACUUGGGGACAUGGUCAGUGGGCAUGGUGGGAUGGGCUGGGGUUGGACUUGAUGAUCUUAGAGUUCUUUUCCAACUUUAACUCACCUGUGACUUGGGGAUGUCAGUGAGUACUUUUCAGGAGGCAGGCUUUUCUGCUUGUUUUGUCGUUGGCUUUCUUGUGGGGUGGGCUUCCCAUUGGAAACCACCGCAAAGACCACAUGAACAGCCCGGAGCGGUGUCUGAAGUGGAGAACUGAAGGGAAACCCAUUUACUGCAAUUAAUAUCGCUGCUAAAACAAGUCAUGCCCCGGAGAUAGAGAGGACCCUUGUAAGAAUUUGAGUUUGUUUGUUGCUUUGUUUAUUUGUAUGGAGCGAAGAAGAAAAUGGAGGGGAUGGGAGAAUCUCUGAGAGCCUUUUUUCCCUCCGGGCUGCUCUACAGUGAUGGGGCUGUGUGUUUAUAAAGCCGCUCCGUGAGCUCCAGGUGCCCGAGGACUUGGAAGAAGUGAGAGGCAGAGUUAAUGAGGUGAGAAGGAAAGCAGAAGGGAAAGAGCAGAACGCAUUUGUUGCAACAGAUCAGCCUGAAACAUCUGCAGGGCACGGGCACCUGCGUUGGUAGGGAAAUGUAGGUUUUUAGUUCGUAAAAGGGAAAAAAAAAAAAAACUCUGGAGAAAAGGAAGGGAGAGAUGGAGAGUGAGAUUUGGGCACGUCUUAAGAUUUAUCUUCUUUUUAUUUUUUCCCCUUCUUCCCAAAACCUUAUAGAGAGGGGGAAAUAAAGCGAAGCAGCGAACGCAGCCUUGCCGCACGCAGGGUUAAAUGGAAACACACAAUCAGACCAUAACUCAGGGUGUAAUUCAAGCCAUACGUUUUGUCUGUCUGUUGCCUCGAAAGGUUGUAUCAAGGCUUGGCGAGGGAGGGGAUAAUCCAAACUUCGUCGUGAUUCAUAAACCACUCCUUGGCGAUUUGGAUCAUAGAUCUCUUUCACGGCGACUCGCCCAACCUCAGAGCUAACCGUGGCUCCAUGCUCU